rnacentral:rRNA from 1 species
UAAGGAAUAUUGGUCAAUGGACGCAAGUCUGAACCAGCCAUGCCGCGUGAAGGAUGAAGGUCCUCUGGAUUGUAAACUUCUUUUAUCUGGGACGAAAACGGGAUUUUUAUCUCAAUUGACGGUACCAGAGGAAUAAGCACCGGCUAACUCCGUGCCAGCAGCCGCGGUAAUACGGAGGGUGCGAGCGUUACCCGGAUUUACUGGGUUUAAAGGGUGCGUAGGUGGGCUUAUAAGUCAGUGGUGAAAUCUCCGAGCUUAGCUUGGAAACUGCCGUUGAUACUAUAGGUCUUGAAUUAUCUGGAGGUAAGCGGAAUAUGUCAUGUAGCGGUGAAAUGCUUAGAUAUGACAUAGAACACCAAUUGCGAAGGCAGCUUACUACAUAUAAAUUGACGCUGAGGCACGAAAGCGUGGGGAUCAAACA